UUGGUCUGUUUGAGAAGCCUCCUUAGAAACUCCAUAGUCUCAGCUCCUCAGCAUUUCUGAAAUUCCUUCCAGGGUGAACCCAAAUCACCCCGUUCUCCUGGAGGACCCGGUUCUCUCUGCCAUUGCCCAAAAGCACAAGAAAACAGCAGCUUUGGUUGCCCUUCGCUACCAGAUUCAACGUGGGGUUGUGGUUCUGGCCAAGGGUAACAACAAGAAGUGGAUCAAAGAGAACAUACAGGUGUUUGACUUUGAACUGACUCCAGAAGACAUGAAGGCAAUCGAUGGCCUCAACAGAAAUAUAAGAUAUUACGAAUUUCACCUUGGUGUUGGUCAGCCUGGCUAUCCAUUUUCUGAAGAAUAUUGACUCUCAGCUCUCACUGUGGUUCUUUGAGAAUUACUUGCUUCUAGGACUAUGAAGAGGAUUUUUGUACUUGGUGGAAGUGCUUAAAUGUCUGAAUGUUUGAAAGUUUGCCUUUCCUUUAUAAAAAUAAACAGUUAAUGAAACAA